UCAGCUAUAUUUCCUAUGAAUAAAUAAAGGCAAAUGCAGAAGGUAAACCUUAAAUUGAAUAUGUCAGACAUAUGCCAAAUAUGUUGGUAGUUCAAAUAAGUCACAAUCUGGGACCUCAAUUGAAUAACCCACAAAUGGGGCAGCAAAUACUUCUCUCAACAGUCAACAUCCAAUACAUGAAAAUCAAUCAAUUACAUUAGAAAGUCAUAACAAUCAAGUACAUUAGAAAGACAUAAUCAAUAUGCUUCCAUUUUGACAAAUAUUUCAAAGUAAAUCACCUCAUCCUAUUGAACGAGGUCAAAAAUACCAGAGGUCUUGAACUUUCAAAAAAAACCUAAAAACUUUACAGAAACCAGCAAACACCAGGACCAGGUAUUUCCAGAAGCCAAAUGGGCAGAUGAUUCCAACGAUUCAAGUGAAGUGGAGGACCAAUUAUGUGGACAAAAACUAGAUGGGUACCAAUAAAGAAUAGAUAAGCAGAAGCAAAGCUCACAUAAACUUACAAAAGUAACUUUUGUCAAAAUGAUAGUAACUUUCAGUCAGGAUGGAUAACAUAUACCUGGCUGGGUGACUGCAGAAGGAACCUCAAGCUUCGACACAUCAUAGGUGACAGGCUCUUCUUUAACUAAAACAUGACCGGUAGUGGUCUUCUGUUUGGGUAACCCGGCAAUGCUGGGCUGAAGGUUUGGCUCUUUAUGGCAUCCAGCAAGAGAUGACCUCUUCUCCCCAGAAGGAAUUUGUGGUGAGAGAGUUCCCUUUCCUCUGUCUCUCAGGCGCAUUGGAUGAGAAACUGAAUUGGAUUCAGUUCUCAAACUGGUCUUUUGCUGACUUUUAUUGACAGCACUAGGCUGAGAGGGAUCGCUCCUCUCCUGUGACUCAGCCCUCAAUUUUUUAGUAUUGGGCUGAGGUGAAUCUGCUUUGUCUUGUGCAAUUCAAACCAGCCAUUCAAAAGCCAACAAAAAAAUGCAGAAGACUAGGCAUAAGAAACAAUCUACACAAAGUGGUUCAAGUGUGCUCCAACAGAACAAUCGGAAACAGAAUUGUGUACAUGCUGGCAGAGGAAAAUUACAUUCCAAAUCCUUUACUUCCAACUUACAGAAUGGGAAAGCACUCAGUGGAGAUUCCUCUUCAGUAAGGCAUAGGUUAAUUUAAGAAGGGGGAAAUGUAGAGGAUUUGGAGAAAAUUGAAGCACAAGAAUAAAAGCAAUUUCCUUUCGAGACCCUUGUUGCAGCAACCCAAAAAUUUAAUUAUACUCGAAAGCUUAGUGAAGGAGGCAUUGGUCUUGUUUAUAAGGUAAAAUUUAACUUGUGGGCAUUUGAAUUUUUCCCAAUAAAAGAAAAAAGAAGGAUAGAAGUUUUCCCCAUCUCUAAAAGGGUUCUACUUGAAGGAAUCUUUUAGCUACUACGGUGCUACUGUUGGGAACAUUGAUCCAUCAACACUUGGUGCAUUUUCCUUCGGUCAGCUUGUCAUAGAAGGAUGUUAGCAGAAUCAGAAGAACUAGAAGCUCGGAACUCUACUUUGGGAAAUGGUCCCGCCAAUGCUAUACUGGGCACUAUAGAAGCUACAAAGACUGAGAAAGGGCCCUUACCCUCCCUAACCUUAUUAUAGACUUCCGAAAAAUCCGAAUAUAUGAGGAUUCCCUCACCUUAUAAGUUCAACAAAUCAUCGAAAUGCUCUCUCUGAAGAUUCAACAAGCUAUUAGCUAUGCAAGGGUUUCUUAGAGUAGAUAGCUCUAUCUAUCAUAGUGAAAUAGAUUGAAAGAAAUCUUCCUUUUUCCCCCCUUGGCUUCAUUACUCUGCUUGUUGCCAGCACUAUUCACUAUUAUUAAGAAAGAGCAGAAGUGGUCUUCUUUUACAGCAUAUUUAAACUUAAACGAGGUGACAGUGAAUCAUGCCUAUAAGUGAAAUACUUACUACUUGGACGCUUUACGCUGCGGCAGAACCGGCUGCCACAUUGACAGCGAAAUGCCUUAACGGGAUGAUCGUGGUCAUCAAAAUCAAUACCAUAAUCCUGCGAGGAUAACAUUGAGACGUUUUAACAAAGAGCAUAUUCAGAUACAUAAAUUUAUGCUAUGUGUAGCCAUCAAAUUGUUAUUUAAUUUUAAGAGCACGUGAUUGAACAUACACAUAGAUAAAAGAGAGUGAACAAAGCAGUUAACUGCACAUAUAGUACACAUUUGAUUUUAUUACACAUAGUAACAAUCAUAGACAUAAAAAUGGCGAACAAAAGGGCAGAAGUGAGAACAUUUACUUAGAAUUCAAAAUCUUAUGUUGCUGAAUUUUCAGACAUAUGAUAACCCUUUAAGUUAGAGAUUAGUCUAUACUCUAGGAAUUUUCCUACUGCAUUUAUUCCAGCAGGAAUAUUGUUCUUAUGUUAAACAAGCAGCCCUAGACACAGAAUAGCCUAUUUUGUGAAGGUCUCUUAGUUUUGGCCUGAUGCAGGUCAACCAAUUUUUUGUACUUCUUUACUUACCUAUCAAUACACAUUUAAAAUAUCACAUGUACCGUGGGUCACCCUUGCCAACAGUGGUUAUGGUCAUGGCCCAAGACCUUCCUUAUUUUAUUGAGUGAGAGGAAGGGGACAGUUGAGUGGCCAGUUCACUAGCUAGUUCAGUCGAGUUAUAAUGACUCGUACAGAUGAAAUCAAACUCAGAUGUGGAACAUUGAAUUCAUCAUCAACCCUUUUUCAUUUAUAUAGCCCGUGCCUACGUUAUAAUGCUCCUAUUUCCUUUGGAAUUGUACAAAUUAUGUCCUCCUACGAGAAAUAAUUAUUCACUCCCCAAAAAUGCCCUGAAGUACAUAAACAAGGAUACUUGUUCCUUAGAUGUGAGGGUAAAAGUGAAAAGUUACAUCAACCAUCCACUUUUAUCAACUAUUUUAUAAAACUCUGUGCCAUUUCAAAUCACUUCAUUGAGUUAUGGAUGAAGGAUUAAUAUUUAAUAUGGUGUGGCUUCAGCAAAGGUAAACAAUAAAAGGUGGGAGCCAAUGAACAAUCUAACACGUUCAAAACUCAUUUCAAAAAACUAUUACAUGCACAAUUCAAUUUAUUAAGACAAACAGUCGUGCAACCAAGAUGUAACCAGAUACCACCACAUAGAAUCUAACUACAAUGUCCAGACAAGAAAAUUUAAGGAUGCAGCCAUAUCAAACCAUACGCUAAACUGCAGCUACCAUCCCCACGUGUAUGGUCUUUCGCACUUUUAACCUCAUCUUUUGUUCUUGGUAUCAAGCUCCUGGAUCUUUUAGCCUCAUUUUCUCAGUUUUCUAAAGUCCACCCAAUGGAAACAAAUUCUCUUGCUUAGAGGCCUAUAUUCGUACAAAUUAGGUAGGAAAAAGAAUUGGCAAAAGAUCAACUUUAGCAUAAUCCAAAUUCCAAUGUGGAAGCUAUAUUGUGAUUAUUUAAUAAUUAGAGGGUGGGUGUUGACAGAUUCUAUGUUCAGAAAGGGAAGUCUUGGUUUUAAUUCUUAGCAAGUCUGUAGUUAUUUUGCAUGAGAUAGCACAAAAUCAGCAGCAGCAGAUUAGUAAGAGGUUACCCUUCCUGGGUGUAGGUGUACGAGUUAUUCAAAAUAAGAUAAAGGAAAAAAAAAAAUUAAUGAAUGCAAGCAUAUAACUUAACAAAACAACAAACUAAGCCUUAUUCUUAUAAAAUUUAGGAUCAGCUACACAUGCUUUUUCACUACUCCUUGCAGUCCAUCUCCACAUCCAUGGGAAGAUCUAAGGCAAUCAGAAUGCUUUUAACUCCGGUAUACCAGGUAAAUUUUUGUCUAACUCUCCCUUUCUAAAAUAUUCUAUUAGGAUCUCAUCACUCUUGUGAAAGGGAGUUUCUUUAGGUGACAUCCUCCAACCACCUAACUCAUCCUACUCUCAAUUUAUCCUCAAUGGGUGCCUUCAUCUGUUCCCAAAAAACCAACUAAAAUAUUACUAGUAGGAUAGAUGGUUUCCAACUAGCAAUGAAGAGGUUGAAAUUUGCUUAAGCUUACACUGCAUUUUCAUUCAAACGGAUUUAUGACAUUUUCGAGACACUAAGACUCCUUUAUCAAUGACAUAGUGCUCCCUCAAAAUGAAACCAAUUUCAGUAAAAUAUGAUCUAGAUGAAAAACGCCCACCAAUAUUAUUGCCACAUUUUCACAGUUCCAAAUCGACCAUAUUCUAGCUCCUCGAAAUCAUAAAGCAAGUGAUUUUCCCAUUAAUUGUUCACAAUAGUCGAAUAUACAUUACUAAGAACAGUAGACAUCUAUACCUCCCUAGAACAACAAAAAGCACGUUUAUACAUAACGUAUUUCAAUGAAAUAAAUCCUACUUACCCAAGUGAGUUCUUCCAUAGCUUUUACCUUUCUUGUAGUGAAGAAGGCAAGCUGCAUUAAGAGAUGCAAAAUUCAAUAAAACUGUGGACACAAAUGAUUAACAGCAGUCGCCAUGGAAAACGGAAAAGGUUAACCAUUAUGGAUAGGAUUUCAUACAUGGUAAUAGUGGUGAUCAGGUGUCUCCACUUCCACAGGUAUCUCCACCAUGUUUGAAUCGAAACACCUAGCAGGAUAUAAAAAUGGCUAUUAAGAAAUCUGAAAACGAAAUCAACCAAAGGCUCUGAGAAAGAGAAAUCUCUUCUAUAAAAUUUAAUGCAUUCUACAUUCUGGAGGCAGACGGGAUUGGAGACAAAAGAAUUUGUCUUUGACAAGGAUGUUGACAUAUUUAAGCAAACGCAAUUUUAUGGUUAUAUGUAUGUGCUUCUGCGCACCUGUGGAGGGAGAGAGGGACUCAAUUACAAAAAUGAAAGAGUUCUAGGAAGUCAGCAUUAUAGCCAGGGUUGAAUAGGAUAAUCUAAUAAAUGAAAUAAAAAUGUUUAACCUAAACCUUACCUUCUUCAGUUUCCCCAUCUUAUCUGAACAUUAUCAUAAACAAUGUGAUAAACAGACAGCCUUUCAUUUGUAUUGAUUGUCAAGACCUUAAACAAGGCUCUACUAAGCUCUUCAAUGGAGCAACUUUUGACAACACGAAAGAUUCAUGUUAUGAUCCUUUGCCUUGGUUUGCUCUCUCUCAUUUUUUGAAUAAGCUAGAAACAUAUUACUAACUCGCUAUCACACUAGAGAUUAAGACCAAGAGACAUGGUGACUGAACAGUGAACUUCACGAAAAAGAACAAUAAUUCACAAAAUGAAUGCGUUCUCAAUCAACUGAACUUACCUAUGGUUGAUAAACCUUGCUACGUUACCAUAAUAUGUAGCAUCUAAACAAAGAGCAUCUUCAUCCUUUAAAACAACUUCCGAACACCAAUCAGCAUCAAGGAGCACAGGAUAUGAAUGUUCUUCCCCUUUGGAGCUCCGUACACGAUCAUAUAGCUCCGCAUUUGUUAAAACUUCUCCAACAUAUUCGCAGACAAAGGCACCUUUUGGCAGAUCCUCCAAGGUACGUAAACCCCACCCUUUUCCACCAGGAGUCAUAAACACCUGAAGAAAAAAUUAUAUAAGGAAAAGUUAGUGCAAUCAUGGAAAAACUUAUUAUUAAAGCAUCAACGAGAUCAUAAGACUCGAUAAUCAAGCAAAAAGAACAUGGGGUUGGGUCUAGGUCCAAACAUAGGCAGGAACUCCUACCUGUAAAUUGCGACUUAUUCCCCUUUGUACCACUCGAUUGCCGCACUGUAUAUUACACCCACAUUUCAACCAACAUUCUUUGAUGAACUUCCUCACCAAAUGACCCUUGCAAGAUCCAACGAUAUCUUCAUUUUUUGACCUUUCCAGUGGACAUUCCUUACAGAAGUACUGGCAGUGUUUUUCAGGAUCACGAUUCAUUGAAAUACACUCUUUAAGGAAUUCCUCCUUGAUGAGUCCAUCACUUGUGUAUGCAAACUCACCGCCAGUUUCAUGUGAACAUGCACAAGGCAAGGAUAAUGAUAGACAAUCACCAGAACAGGUUGAACAACAAUUAUUAUCUCCUAUACGAGCUAGAGAAAAAUUUACAUAUGCAUUUUGGAAAACAGCAUUUUUGGGUAUGUAGAAGAAAGAUGGCGGAGACUUGUCAUUAAAUUCAUUCACCAGGGUAAUUACUACUCUUUCUUGUCCCUUGGCUAUAUCAACAACGUCAUGGAGUGAACUUAUCCUUUCAGGUGUCAAUUGACGCUCCUGGCUAACCACAACAUGCUGGAAGUUUGUGUCUUCAAGAUCAUUCUCUUUAUUUUCUUCAUCUGUUACACAGAAAUUUUCACUGGCCUUCUUGUUAAGCUGCAUGCCGUCAUCCACACCAUCACAAGAUGGAGGAAGUUUUGGUUCUUGGAGCAGAGCUACCUCCUCAUCAAACUGAGAACCGACUGAUCCAUUCAAAGAAUGAAAGCGCGUGCCUUUAGCACCUAAAGCAUCUGUUAAAAAGAUUUUUUGAAUGAAUCAAUAAUGAGUUUCACAUUUAUGGUUUCUGGAGUUAAGAGGAUUCAGUUCAAAAUUUAUUUCAUAAGUUUCAUCAAGGAAAAGUUCAUAUCAUAAGUUUUGUAUGAUCUGAGACAUUUAUCCUCCAAAAUUUUAGUGCUGCAUCAAGACUAGGCAUAUGGAAGUCAGGCCUUCCAAAAGUCAAGUUGCAGAUCAUAAAUUUUCACCUCUCCAAAAGGUGAGGAAGCAAUCUCAAGGUUUAAACAAGAUUCACCUGAAACCAUUGCCGGGUUGCCAUUGUUUCUCGUUUCAUUUGAAAUGGGAACCCCAUCAGCUGUGCCUUUUUCACCCAUAAACUGUAACAGAUCAGGACCAUUAUUUUCUCUGAUCGAACCAUUUCCACUAGAUGACUCUCCUUUACUUGAUGGAUCUGAAAAUGAUGAACUCACAAAAACUCAGCUAUAUUUCCUAUGAAUAAAUAAAGGCAAAUGCAGAAGGUAAACCUUAAAUUGAAUAUGUCAGACAUAUGCCAAAUAUAUUGGUAGUUCAAAUAAGUCACAAUCUGGGACCUCAAUUGAAUAACCCACAAAUGGGGCAGCAAAUACUUCUCUCAACAGUCAACAUCCAAUACAUGAAAAUCAAUCAAUUACAUUAGAAAGUCAUAACAAUCAAGUACAUUAGAAAGACAUAAUCAAUAUGCUUCCAUUUUGACAAAUAUUUCAAAGUAAAUCACCUCAUCCUAUUGAACGAGGUCAAAAAUACCAGAGGUCUUGAACUUUCAAAAAAAACCUAAAAACUUUACAGAAACCAGCAAACACCAGGACCAGGUAUUUCCAGAAGCCAAAUGGGCAGAUGAUUCCAACGAUUCAAGUGAAGUGGAGGACCAAUUAUGUGGACAAAAACUAGAUGGGUACCAAUAAAGAAUAGAUAAGCAGAAGCAAAGCUCACAUAAACUUACAAAAGUAACUUUUGUCAAAAUGAUAGUAACUUUCAGUCAGGAUGGAUAACAUAUACCUGGCUGGGUGACUGCAGAAGGAACCUCAAGCUUCAACACAUCAUAGGUGACAGGCUCUUCUUUAACUAAAACAUGACCGGUAGUGGUCUUCUGUUUGGGUAACCCGGCAAUGCUGGGCUGAAGGUUUGGCUCUUUAUGGCAUCCAGCAAGAGAUGACCUCUUCUCCCCAGAAGGAAUUUGUGGUGAGAGAGUUCCCUUUCCUCUGUCUCUCAGGCGCAUUGGAUGAGAAACUGAAUUGGAUUCAGUUCUCAAACUGGUCUUUUGCUGACUUUUAUUGACAGCACUAGGCUGAGAGGGAUCGCUCCUCUCCUGUGACUCAGCCCUCAAUUUUUUAGUAUUGGGCUGAGGUGAAUCUGCUUUGUCUUGUGCCUGAUUCUGAUUCUGUAGACUUGUUUCAAGAAGUUCAACCUGUUCUUCUUUAGGUAUGACAAGUGAAGUUCCAGGCAAGCUUGUAUUAUUUAAGGAAGGUAACACUUCAACUUCUCGAUUUCUUAGUCGCAACCUUUUGAAAGUUCGUUCAGGCUCCUGAUUCACCUGAGCAACUUCUCGAUUUCUUAGUCGCAACCUUUUUAAGGGUCGUUCAGGCUCCUCAUUCACCUGAGCUUCUUCCUCCAAAUAAUCCUCCUGCCAUUUAAGGGAAGUGGACAGGUUCAGUGUCGUAAGAUUGACGAAAAUAAGAGAAAAAAGAGACUAAUGACCAAAAUUCACAAGCAUUAAAAAUUGUUUCCAGAAAGCACGACAAUCAAGAAGAAGAAAAAAAGAAGCUGCUUACUUCAUUGUUCACAAUCUUCUUUGACUGCUCUAUUGCCUGAAUGAGAGGAUAAAUAAAAAAAUUAUAGUUCAACAAAAACUAUGAAAAAUACGGAGUCUAACAGAUGGAAUUAACUUAGAGGUAAUAACUCCAAAGAGGAAAAAAGGAAAAAGAACAAAAGAAUAACAUUUUUUGAGGGGAACACCAUACCUCAGAUUCCUCCCUCUCAAAUAUAGCAUCAGCAAGGGCUCUAUAGUUUUCCUCUUCAAUAAGUUCCCAAUUUUUAUCAAACAACUUUAGUAGAUUUUUCAAUGCUGGCUUCACCUUAUCUUCGGAGAUCCCAAUAGCCUUCAUAGCAUGAAAGGCUUUGGCAACUCUUGGAUUUGGCGGCAUGCUUAUUCGAACAAAUUUUAUAAAGCAGCCUCUGAACCUUCCAGUGAACCUAAAUACCUUAAUUAUGUGAGCAAAAGAACAACAGAAAGUGCCUAAACCUAUAAACUAGUAAGUAAACAAAGCUCAGUUACAGAUAAUCCCUGAAAUAUCAUACACCAAAUAUAUUAAAACUACAUAUUGGGGUGACCAGGUCAAAUAAUGAUCAUUGUGUCAAGCAGGUAAAAGAAGAUAGAUAGGUUGCUUGUAUCAUACAACGAUCAGUUAAAACUAAAUAUUGGGGUGACCAUGCCAAAUAAUGAUAGAUCACAUCAAGCAGGUAACAGAAGCCAGAUAGAUAGCCUGUGUCAGCAAAAUGAAUAACGCUCAAACAAGACUCAUAAUUGUCCUGUUUCGGACCUUUGGGUCCACCUUAAGUAAAUGAUGGGAUACUAGCAUAAGUAAUUGGCCAGCAAUGAAGCUCCAACUGUUAGCUGGAAACCAAAUGCAGCAAAAUAUGGAGAAGAGAUGCCGCUAGUACAGUAGUGCUAACAGGAAUUUAUACUGACAUCCUAAAGCAUACUUUGACCAACUCUCAAAUUGAAUGUCUUAGAUAACUACAUUAAAAGGUGAGUUAUAGAAAGCCAUAUUCUCUCAGGUUCUAGAACAAACACAAUCCUUACAAAGGCAGCACAAGCAGCAUGCCUCAGCUGCCCUACUUGCAACCACCACUACCAAUUCACACUGAAAUCAAACACCAGUACCAUUACAUGACUUGCAAAAAUUAUAUUUUUCCUAAAAAGUACAGAAAUUGCAUAAAAAUUUCAGUUGUACAAGAAAUGCUCGAGUAAUAGAACUGAAUGACCUAUUACUGCUCUUUUUCGGAAACAUUACCUCUUUUGCUCUUAAACAUACAGGAAAAUUGCCCUCAACGACAACAAAGGCAACGUGAAUCUUUCUUUGCCGCUCCUUCGGUUCAUUACAAUUAUAGGGAGACAAAAACAAUUGUAUCCUUGGCAACCACUACAAGCCCUAUUAGAAUCUAUUCUAACCUUCUCUAAUGAGAUUGCAUCACUCUUGUGGUUCGGAGCCUCUUGUCUGCACAAAAUUUGUUCCAAGUGUCUAAGUUUUUGUUCUCUUAAUUUCUCCUCAAUCAGCAUCAUCUCCAUUUGUUGGGGUAAAUUCUCGUUCAUUAUCCAUUCUAGUAUGACAACACAUUCAUCAUAGCAUCUUUGUUUGCUCUACGUUCAUAUAUGGGCAUUGUCCUUUAAUAGCCAAGCACUCGUACCUAAAGCAUAGCGGGUAUUAUAAUUGAUCAAUAGAACUGAUCUUUUAAGCUGUACAAUGCGUGUUUGUUUUUCUUUAUUUAUUUUUUUCCUCAAAAGGGGGCCGCACAAAUGCAGAUUCUCACUCUCACAAAUAAUGAUGUAGGCUCAACUACUUGGGCUGAUCUUAAGCCGGAUCCCUUCCCAAGUGUAAUGAAAGUCACCAGUAGAGGGCAUGGGCCUUCAUGAUUUCCUAUUAACCAGUCCAAAUAAGAAUAAGUGGCAUUACAUGUACUGUAUGGAUUUCCUAUUAACCAGUCCAAAUAAGAAUAAGUGGCAUUACAUGUACUGUAUUGAUUCUUUUAUAUAAAAACACUUAGAUUCAAAGUACUCAUCCAAAGAUUGAACUUAUGAUGAAACUUUUUUACCCAAAAUCGAAUAACAUAACCCUAGAAACCUCUUUCUUGGAUAUGCAUCAUAGCAUGUUAAUGAUUAAAGAGAGAAUAUGAGACAACUGAAGACCUAUAGUGAGGAAAUUCUCCAUUACUACUAUCACUGCAUCUCACACUAAUGACUGUUCCAUUAAACAUGUCUUUAAUUAUAUAAUUUAUCCAAUAGAAUUUCAUUUUCUCUCUAGCACCCACCAUAGCACUUCUAUAGAUACUUAUCAUGGACUUUUUUACAUCAAUUAAAUCCAAGUGAGAAAAAACUCAUUCAUAAAAAUUUGUAGGACAAUAUGCAAACAAAAACACAUAUCAAACAGGUGUUAAACUACAAAAUAGAAGUGCUUGCUUCCAAAACUGAGAUGUAAAAGAAAAGGGUGUACUAGCAAUGUCUCAUCCUUACCCAAUGCAAAACGUAACUCUACAUUUCUUUACACAUAAAACCACACUAGCAUGCAAUGAACAUCUGAAUCUUUUUGGAGUGUUGUGACCAAAUGACAUAAUGGUUGGUAAUGGAAUAAAUACAUGAUUAUGCAACGAGCAUGUAGAUCUACAUGAUUUGUGCUUAUUAACAAAGACCUUAAAUUGUCACACCAUAUAAGAGAGGAAGGAAAAAAAAUAAAAAAGGAUGCCUACAGCAUCAAUGUGCUAAGGUUUGACACCAUUAUUUUUAGGGUAAAUCCCCCAAGGGGUUCCCAACCUCACAUAAGUGUGGCAGCCGUGUCCCAAACUUUGCAUUUGCCAUUUGCCCCACCCAUAUCCACAUACCUUUAACAUUAUGCACUCGAUAUCCCCGCUCAAUGAGAAAAGUGUGCUUAGACAUUAAAUGACCAUGUCGAAUGUGAUAUCAAACUAAAACGACAAAAUUGUCAAAAAAAAAAAAAGGCAACAUUUGUUGUAAUUUUAAGUUGCCCUAUGAAUUUUGGAAUAAUGAAAUUCUUUUAAGGUAAUUGUGUCCCUUUUACAUAUAGUGCGUGUUGCUUUUACAUAUAGAUAGACGUUCUUCAACAUGUGAAGAUACUAAUGCACAAUGUUAAAAGGUUUGGAGACAUGAUUACGACAUUUAUGAAAAGUUGAAGACCAAAUAGGAAUUUACAUAUAGAUAGACGUUCUUCAAUUUUAGGAGACUGCAAUUAUACAUAUAAGAAAUCCAAAGAGAAAGCUUUGGCAACUCUAAGAAAGGAAGUGUUGAAUGAGCACAAAUGGAUGAAACCAGCAAUAAUACAUAUAGGCACAGAGAUAGAUGUGGUUCCUCUAUGAGAGGAACUGAUGACUGACAAUAAAUGAUGAAUUCAUAUUACUUGUUCAAAAAAUAUUGUAAUGAUUUUUUCGCUGUUGUGAAAAAUUAAAUGCAAUUUAAGCAUUGAAGAUUUUGAUAAGCUGGCUUAUUAAUCAACACCUCACACAUGUAAUUGUCAUGCGACAAGCAAGUAAUGUCAGACUGAAAGGGUAAAAUUGUUAAAAAAAGGCAAUAUUUAAUGUAAUUUUAAUGGCAGCCCUUUAAAUUUUGGAAGAAAAUCCUUUCUUGACAAUUUUACACAUUCAAUCAUACAUCACAUGUCUAUCACUUUUACAUCUCGAAUUCAAUAGAUGAAGAUAGCACAUGCACAACGUUAAAAGGUUUAAAGACAUAAUUGCUACACUAAUUGAAGGUUAGGAUCCCUGGACAAAUUUACCCCUAAAUUUAUCGCAGUUAAAUAUGACAUGUAAGCAUAUCACUAAUAUUCAUUCCAUCCCUGAGGAAUUACUUUUUCACUUUUUGGGAUCAACUCAAAGUUUUUCAAGGCCAUGUUUCAUAUCAAUUAAUUAAUCUCCUAAUCAAAAACUUUUUUACAGCAGUACAGGUACCUAUGAGAAUUUUAUGAUUCUAAGUUCUUUUUUCUAUCUGGAACCAAAUACAACAAACAGCGGCAAAAAAUUAGGCUCCGUACCAAAAAAUUUGUAGGUCGAUAAGAUUUUUUGUCACUAUGUUCUGCUCAUUGCUAGAUCUAUUACAAAAUUCAAAGUAACUGGAUUUUAAAACUAAAAAACAUGACAGAAAACAAUGCACAUCGAGAUCAAGAGAUAAAAUAACACUUUAGAAUUUUACUCAAGAACAAAUGCAAGGACACGGAGAAAUUCUAAACAAAUUAAUAACGUUAGAGUAAUUCAAUUCUACUUAGAUGGAAAAACAUUGUUUUCAUUUUUCCCAUUACACAUCAAUUUUAGGAGACUACAAUUAUACAGAUAAGAAAUCCAAAUAGAAAGCUGGCACCUCUAUGAGAGGAAGUGAUGAUCGAUCAUGAUGAAUGGAUUGGCAAUUAUAGGUAAACACGAAGAGAAAGCUUUGGUACCUCUAUGAAAGGAACUGGCGGUUGACCAUAAAUGAUAAAUUCGUAUUACUUGUUGAAAAAAUGUUGUAAUGCCUCUGUAGUGAAAACUUAAAUGUGAUAUAAGCAUAGAAGAUAUCGACUAGUUGGCAUAUUAAUCAACGCCGUACACAUGUAAAGCAUGCAAAACAUGGAUGUAUUUGUCCAAUACAAGUGAUUCUUUGGCACAAUUUUGACCACCUAGGGUGGAGAUGUCUUUUAAAACCUAAUAAAAUAAUGCAAUUUAACUUGACUGACCAAAGAGUUCUUUCCCCAAAAAUCAGAUAUAGAAAUGGAUGAAAGGCCUCUGAAAUACCAAUUACUAGAAUAGAAGUGUAUACCGUGUCAACAAUAUGGGUAAAGGUUUAGAACCAAAAAUAUUAAACCAGAGAACUGAAACACACCAUUCCAGACAGAAUGAGUGAAGUGGAUCUGAUGGGUGUAAAAUGAAGUUUGGGCAAUUUUUUAUUCAUACCACAGUUUGUCUGAUUCAACCUGAGGGAGAAACUAAAUUUUUUUACCAUGGGCUCGAGCACUGAAGUUGGGAGAAAUCAUAAAUUGACCUACAGUUAAAGAAAAAUAUAAUUUGAAGAUGUUGGCUGCCCGGUGAAGCCUCAACUUAAGAAUGACAUUUUUAAGGCUCAUUUACUUAAAUGUACCAACAUCCGACAAAUUUAAAACUUCAGUUUUUUACUCCACUUGAUCUCCUAACUACUAAAUAGACAGACAGCUUCCAAGCUCAACUUGAAUUUUGGUUAAUAAAGGCUAAUAAUUUGUUGCUUCAAGUCUGAAUUAAUAAGCCUGAAUAGAGCUUAAAGCUUCUCUACAAUUUCAAACCAAUCUCAAGCAUGUCCCUAGCUAAGAUUAGAAAACUUGUGAAAGAUGCAUUUUCACUGUGGAAUUAUAGCUCUAAAAACUCUGUUUCCCAAUGUCAUAAACAUCCAUCUUGUGCUGCAAAUUGCCACUAUACUCAAAACGUUUUUCAGUUGAUGAAAAAAAAAAAAAAAACACAAAAGAUUUCUUCCUUCUAGAUUAUUUGGUACAACUCCUUCUGUCACUUUUGAACACUAUCAACUAGCUAAUGGGAGCUCUUACAGACAGUGGGCAGUGCAGAACAUUAAUUCGCUGUUUCAAAGAACCAUAUAUUGACCUGACCUUCAAAAAAAGUUGAAAAUCAUACACUAGGUUGCUUUUUCUCCUUCUAUUACUUUCCUUCCAAUAAUUCCAUUUUUAGUCACUAUAUAGUCACUAUAAAGUAUAAACUAUAAAAUAAAAGCCAAUAUAUUGAAAAAAAAUACCGUUCUCUAUUGGGACGACAAAAAUUGAGAAAAUUCAAACAAAAAAAUUAUAACAUUUGGACUUAACUUGAAUAAUCUGACAUUUCUAAAAUUCGCGGCAACAGGCAAGCAUGUUGGAAAAGUCAAGUCUAUUUUAAUUGCUAUUGCCUUAUUGUCCUAGUCUUUAGGUAAGUUAAUAAAUUAUAUUUGUUAUAAAAAGGAACGUGGCUUGUUUUUGGCCCAGUCAAAUUGAAGUUUGUUUUACAUUUACCUAGUCUUUAGCAUUUUAUCAGGAGUUAGUGGUUAGUGGCUGCAGAUAUCGUUGGUUUUCAGCUCUAUAAAUAGAGCAUGUUACUGUGGUAAUAAUAACUCUGUUUGCAAUGGAUGUCCAACCUUUAUAUCUCUUCCUUCUCGAUAAAGGCGGGGAUGGACUCUGGCAGCCGCGAUCAUUUGAUUGAACUGAAAUUUGGAAUGGGUACACUUGACGAUAUGAAUCAUUUGGCGAGGUCUUUGCAGACAGAGGCAGGUAGAGAAAGAAAUAUAUUACAUCAGGCGGGUUCACUCUUUGCCAUUAAUGGGUAGGGAUCACUUCAUUGAUUUCUGAGAGCAAUAAAGUUCACUUUCCUGUUUCUACUUUCUUGUUUCUAAAUUAUCAGUGGUAUCAGAGCUUGGUUGUGAAAAAAGUGAGAGAGCUACAAUAACAAUCUUUCAUUUUUUUUCAGUUCUUCUUCUUUUCUUUCAGCAGUAGCAGUGAAUGAUGGCGUCAGACAGCUUCGUACAACCAGCUAUUCCCGUUUUGAUGGGCACUAUGAUCAUUGGAGCAUGUUAAUGGAGAAUUUUCUGAGAUCUAAGGAAUAUUGGCCAGUAGUUUCUGAAGGAAUACCAGAAAUGGUGGAUGCAACAGCUUCAGAAGCACAGAAAAUAGAAGUGGAAAGCCAACGUCCGAAGGAUCUUAAAGCCAAGAAUUAUUUGUUUCAAGCCAUCGAUCGCUCAAUCUUGGAAACUAUUCUUUGCAAAGAUACGUCCAAACAAAUCUGGGAUUCUAUGAAAAAGAAAUAUCGGGGAUCGACAAGAGCGAAAAGGCAGUAGCUACAAGCUCUUCGAACAGAAUUUGAAACAACUCGAAUGAAGUCAGGAGAAUCUGUGAUGGAGUACUUCUCACGGGUAAUGACGAUUGCCAAUAAGAUGCGGAUUCAUGGUGACAAGACUGAAGAUGUUACCAUUGUCGAAAAAUUACUUCGGUCCAUGACUCUAAAAUUUAAUUUUGUUAUCUGCUCAAUAAAGGAGUCAAAAGAUGUUGAUGAGCUUUCACUAGAUGAACUCCAAAGCUCUUUGCUUAUCCAUGAACAGUUGAUCAUGAGCAGGACAAAGAUGAACAAGCAUUGAAGGCGUCAACAAGUGGUUAUGGUUGGUCUUCAAACAAAGCAAAUAGAGGAAGAGGUAAAGGAUAUAAGGAUCAUAAAAAUCAGCACCAGCAAUAUAGUAACCAAUUUGGUGAUUCUCAAGGGAGAGGCAGAGGCGGAUUUCAUUUUGGCAACCACAGAGCAAAGUCAGUAGACAGUAGUGGUCUUCUGUUUGGGUAACCCGGCAAUGCUGGGCUGAAGGUUUGGCUCUUUAUGGCAUCCAGCAAGAGAUGACCUCUUCUCCCCAGAAGGAAUUUGUGGUGAGAGAGUUCCCUUUCCUCUGUCUCUCAGGCGCAUUGGAUGAGAAACUGAAUUGGAUUCAGUUCUCAAACUGGUCUUUUGCUGACUUUUAUUGACAGCACUAGGCUGAGAGGGAUCGCUCCUCUCCUGUGACUCAGCCCUCAAUUUUUUAGUAUUGGGCUGAGGUGAAUCUGCUUUGUCUUGUGACUGAUUCUGAUUCUGUAGACUUGUUUCAAGAAGUUCAACCUGUUCUUCUUUAGGUAUGACAAGUGAAGUUCC
rnacentral:lncRNA from 1 species